GACGAACGCUGGCGGCGUGCUUAAUACAUGCAAGUCAACUUGACUUUAGAUAGCAAUAUCGAAAAGUAGGGUGGCGCACGGGUGCGUAACGCGUAGGUAAUCUGCCCUGAGGUCUGACAUAACCCGUCGAAAGGCGGGCUAACAUCAGAUGAUAUAUAAUCACGACAUCGUGGAAAUAUCAAAUCUUCGGAGCCUUGGGAUGAGCCUGCGUCUGAUUAGGUAGUUGGCGGAGUAAUAGCCCACCAAGCCUACGAUCAGUAGCUGGUCUGAGAGGAUGAUCAGCCACACUGGAACUGAGACACGGUCCAGACUCCUACGGGAGCAGCAGUAAGGAAUAUUGCUCAAUGGGGGAAACCCUGAAGCAGCAACGCCGCGUGAAGGAUGAAAUACUUUUGUAUGUAAACUUCUGUAAGAUGGGAAAAAUAUUCUCCUCGGAGAUUGAUUGUACCAUCAGAGUAAGCCCCGGCUAACUACGUGCCAGCAG
rnacentral:rRNA from 1 species